rnacentral:rRNA from 1 species
GUAGGUGAACCUGCGGAAGGAUCAUUACCGAGUGAGGGCCCUUUGGGUCCAACCUCCCACCCGUGUUUAUUUUACCUUGUUGCUUUGGCGGGCCCGCCUUUACUGGCCGCCGGGGGGCUCACGCCCCCGGGCCCGCGCCCGCCGAAGACACCCCCGAACUCUGUCUGAAGAUUGAAGUCUGAGUGAAAAUAUAAAUUAUUUAAAACUUUCAACAACGGAUCUCUUGGUUCCGGCAUCGAUGAAGAACGCAGCGAAAUGCGAUACGUAAUGUGAAUUGCAAAUUCAGUGAAUCAUCGAGUCUUUGAACGCACAUUGCGCCCCCUGGUAUUCCGGGGGGCAUGCCUGUCCGAGCGUCAUUGCUGCCCUCAAGCCCGGCUUGUGUGUUGGGCCCCGUCCUCCGAUUCCGGGGGACGGGCCCGAAAGGCAGCGGCGGCACCGCGUCCGGUCCUCGAGCGUAUGGGGCUUUGUCACCCGCUCUGUAGGCCCGGCCGGCGCUUGCCGAUCAACCCAAAUUUUUAUCCAGGUUGACCUCGGAUCAGUAGGGAUACCCG